GGGGGGGGCAAGCGUUGUUCGGAAUUACUGGGCGUAAAGGGCUCGUAGGUGGCCAACUAAGUCGGAUGUGAAAUCCCCAGGCUCAACUUGGGAACUGCAUCCGAUACUGGAUGGCUUGAAUCCGGGAGAGGGAUGCAGAAUUCCAGGUGUAGCGGUGAAAUGCGUAGAUAUCUGGAGGAAUACCGGUGGCGAAGGCGGCAUCCUGGACCGGCAUUGACACUGAGGAGCGAAAGCCAGGGGAGCAAACGGGAUUAGAUACCCCGGUAGUCCUGGCCCUAAACGAUGAAUGUUUGGUGUGACGGGUAUCGAUCCCUGUCGUGCCGAAGCUAACGCAUUAAACAUUCCGCCUGGGGAGUACGGUCGCAAGGCUGAA
rnacentral:rRNA from 1 species